AGCUCUGUAGCAUAGUGGUAAGGAGCAGGGCUAAUAACCGAAAGGUUGCUGGUUUGAUUCCCUGCCGGGGCAC